rnacentral:piRNA from 1 species
UAACAAAGCAUUUCGUGAAUC